rnacentral:rRNA from 1 species
CCUACGGGUUGCAGCAGUGGGGAAUAUUGGACAAUGGGCGAAAGCCUGAUCCAGCCAUGCCGCGUGUGUGAAGAAGGCCUUCGGGUUGUAAAGCACUUUCAGUGGGGAAGAAAGCCUUGGGGCUAAUACCCUCGAGGAAGGACAUCACCCACAGAAGAAGCACCGGCUAACUCCGUGCCAGCAGCCGCGGUAAUACGGAGGGUGCGAGCGUUAAUCGGAAUUACUGGGCGUAAAGCGCGCGUAGGCGGUCUGAUAAGCCGGUUGUGAAAGCCCCGGGCUCAACCUGGGAACGGCAUCCGGAACUGUCAGGCUAGAGUGCAGGAGAGGAAGGUAGAAUUCCCGGUGUAGCGGUGAAAUGCGUAGAGAUCGGGAGGAAUACCAGUGGCGAAGGCGGCCUUCUGGACUGACACUGACGCUGAGGUGCGAAAGCGUGGGUAGCAAACAGGAUUAGAUACCCCUGUAGUC